rnacentral:rRNA from 1 species
UACGAAGGGGGCUAGCGUUGCUCGGAAUCACUGGGCGUAAAGCGCACGUAGGCGGAUUGCUAAGUCAGGGGUGAAAUCCUGGAGCUCAACUCCAGAACUGCCCUUGAUACUGGCGGUCUCGAGUCCGGGAGAGGUGAGUGGAACUGCGAGUGUACAGGUGAAAUUCGUAGAUAUUCGCAAGAACACCAGUGGCGAAGGCGGCUCACUGGCCCGGUACUGACGCUGAGGUGCGAAAGCGUGGGGAGCAAACAGG